CGAAAAGAUUCCAGGCAAACUGUCACUGCCAAGUAGGCAUCUGCCUACCUGCAUGGCUCCCUUGGCUGCCUGAGUUCAUAAGCUCCACUCCCAAAGGUGGCUUCCCGCCAAAGCUGGGAGCUGGCUACCCAAUCCUAACUCGAUCUCAGUCUCCCAUUAAAGCCCCAUGUGCUCGGGAGCAGCUUUGCAAAUCGCUAAUGGUUUCUUUUUUCGGGAAAAGAGAGAGGCAGGCCAGUGUAGCAGCCAGCUGACUGACAGAAAUCCACAAAGCUGGCAGCCGGCCCGGCCCAGAAGACAAAAGGGUCUUUGGUUCACCUGUCAAGACUGUGCUCCUUCCUCAGGUCUCUUCCCGUGGAGCUUAUCUGAUUCCUCCAGCCAGCUGACUGGCCAUAACAUAAGCUGGAUCUAUCAGAUUUUUCUCCUGGGAAUUUGGCAUUGUGACUCAGAGCCGGCUAGUCAGUCUAUUUGUUGCUGGGAGCAGAGCAUAAACCAUAUUCUUCCAUGUGGACGAAGAACCUGUGAAGCCUCUUCAGAGAGAGAAGUUUUACAACAAAGCAGCAAAAGCAAGAAAUAGUUUCCAGCAGCUGAAGAACCAUACCCCACCUGCUUACCUGACAGUCUGAAAUGGGAAAAUAGAUGAUGGGAUCUUAUAAUUAAAAAACAACAACAACAACAAAAGAAAACCAAACUCAGCAAGUACACAUCAUUAGCAGGAAGCACGUUGGUCCCAAGAGUGGUGAUUAGGCAUUUAAAGAAAUAAUAAGGAUGGAAAACUUGAAAAUUGUACAGCAAAAAACAUUAAAAAUAAUCACUGGCCAAUUUUGUAAAGUCAUUGACUUGCAAGCAGUUUGAUUUAUAACAUAAAAGGGCCUUUUAAAAAAAUUAACAGAUCAAUGUGCUGUGAAGUUCCCUAGUCAUUCUUCCAAGGAGGCAAUGUAGGCUGAAUCAGGAAAGACU
rnacentral:lncRNA from 1 species